UGUGAACGUAUCAGGAAUGGGAAAAAGCAACCUUUGGGUCCUGCAAUAGGUCGGUAGGGCAAGUCCCUCACUUGCUUAAACGUGGAUUUAUUAAGGACUUGAUUCUGAUCUUAUUUCACAGCUACAUAAUUCCACCGCUAUGAAGUUAUCCCAAAUGACUUUUAAAUGCAACACAUGAACGUGGAAAAAUUAGGAGGAUUGCCAAGAUGCGCUUGGGGAGAGCAUUCUUAGAUUUGAUUGUGAUGUAGAAGAUGGAGCACAAAGCCGGAUUCUGCCCUCUGGAAGAGUGGUAGCAGCCAGGAGCGAGGAUGUCACAGCUGCACUGUGCUGGAUGGGAGCAGCUGGAGGAGAAGUCCCCUUUCAAAGCACACCUCCUCUCGUUCUCCUUGAAACAGUUUGUUGAAUCACUGCGAAGCAUUGAGGCUUUAAUGGCUGCUUUGGAGGUGUCUGGCCACACAGCAGAUCCACGGGGUUAGAUAUAUGGAUUAAAAGGGGGAGGAGAAGGCAUCCCUGCCCCGAUGCAGACUCAGGUCCUGAUUCUGCCCUGCUGCAGUGCAAGGAUUUCUAGCAGUGCCUCAAUAAAGCUCAGAAAUGCUGAUCUCA
rnacentral:lncRNA from 1 species